rnacentral:rRNA from 1 species
UCGGGAAUUUUGGGCAAUGGGCGCAAGCCUGACCCAGCAACGCCGCGUGAAGGAUGAAGCUUUUCGGAGUGUAAACUUCAUAAGAAUGGGACGAAUAAGGAGGGGUUAACACCCCCUUUGAUGACGGUACCAUUUGUAAGCUCCGGCUAACUCCGUG